UACGUAGGGGGCAAGCGUUGUCCGGAAUUAUUGGGCGUAAAGAGCGCGUAGGCGGUCUGGCAAGUCCGGAGUGAAAACCCAGGGCUUAACCUUGGGCCUGCUUCGGAUACUGCCAGACUUGAGUUCGGUAGAGGAAACUGGAAUUCCUAGUGUAGCGGUGAAAUGCGCAGAUAUUAGGAAGAACACCGGUGGCGAAGGCGGGUUUCUGGGCCGCAACUGACGCUGAGGCGCGAAAGCUAGGGGAGCAAACAGG
rnacentral:rRNA from 1 species